GAUGAACGCUGGCGGCGUGCUUAAUACAUGCAAGUCGAGCGAACGGACGAGAAGUUUGUUUCUUUGAUGUUAGCGGCGGACGGGUGUGUAACACGUGGAUAACCUACCUAUAAGACUGGGAUAACUUCGGGAAACCGGAGCUAAUACCGGAUGAUAUUUUGAACCGCAUGGUUCAAAAGUGAAUGACGGUCUUGCUGUAACUUAUAGAUGGAUCUGCGCUGCAUUAGCUAGUUGGUAAGGUAACGGCGUACCAAGGCAACGAUGCAUAGACGACGUGAGAGAGUGAUCGGCCGCACGGGAACUGAGACACGGACCAGAGGCCUACGAGAGGGAGCAGUAGGGAAUCUUCCGCAGUGGGCGGAAACCUGACGGAGCAACGCCACGUGAGUGGUAAAAAUCUUCGGAUCGUAAAACUCUGUUAUUAGUGAAAAACAUAUGUGUAAUUAACUGAACACAUCUUGACGGUACCUAAUCAGAAAGCCACGGCUAACUACGUG
rnacentral:rRNA from 1 species